UAAUACAUUUCUUCCUGCGAUUCUUUAAGACCAGCUAACUUGGGUGGCGUUUGGAAUCUGAACUCUGAACACAGUCAAUAUUUCAGUCACACUCGCGCAUACGGAGAAAAGGAGAGAAUGGAGAGUGCGGCGCUUCCUUUUGUGGGCAUGAUGAUGGUCGAGUGUGCACAGGUUGGGCUAAUGAUAGUGGGCAAAGUGGCUAUGUCAAGGGGAAUGAACAACCUCAUCUUCAUCUUCUAUUCCAACGCCCUUGCCUCAUUCAUCCUCCUCCCCACUUCCUUGUUCUUCCACGGAUCGGAGCGUCCUCCGAUCACGUUCUCCCUUCUUUGUGGAUUCUUCUUGCUGGGCCUACUUGGUUUUGGUGUACAGAUUCUAGGCUAUGCUGGGAUUUUGUAUAGCUCGCCUACGCUUGGCACGGCCAUGCUCAACCUUAUCCCAGCCUUUACUUUUAUUUUGGCCGUUGCUUUCAGGAUGGAGAAACUGGACUGGAGAAGCUCCAGUAGCCUAGCUAAAUCGUUGGGAGCCUUGGUGUCAAUUACGGGGGCAUUCAUUGUGACAUUAUACAAGGGCCUUCCACUUCUAAUGACACCAUCACCUUCAGAAGCAUCUCAUCAACUUCUAUUGCAAAUGUCAAACUGGGUCGUUGGAGGAUUGCUCCUUGCAGCUGAUUCUGUGCUGGCUUCAGUAUGGCUUAUCAUGCAGGCAUUGAUACUUAAGAAAUACCCAGCAGGGCUUAUUGUAGUCUUUUUCUAUUGCUUCUUUGUGGCCAUUCAAUCUGCAGUCGUUUCAUUGGUCUUGGAAAGAGACUUGAGUUCUUGGAGCUUACAACCUAAUACGAGGUUAAUUGCUGUUCUAUACUCGGGAAUGUUCGGUUCUGCAUUCCAAGUUGGCAUUUCUGCAUGGUGCAUGCACAAGACCGGGCCUGUUUUUGUUGCUAUGUUCAAGCCUGUGGGUAUUUUCAUUUCUAUUGUCGUGGGUGUUAUCUUACUAGGAGAUACUUUCUAUCUCGGAAGUUUGAUUGGAGCAAUUCUGAUUGUCAUUGGAUUUUUUUCUGUAAUGUGGGCAAAAGCCAAAGAACAGAAAAUGAGUGGGGAAGCUGCGGUAAGGAACUUCGACUCCAGCAGACAAAAAGCCCCUCUCUUGCAAAACAGUGUUGAAGAAAUGUAGAAAUUUCGUACAUCAAAUCAAAGCAUAAAGGUCUCUGUUGCCAACCAAAAUGGGGACCAGACUUUGUUUGACAGUUUAAUAUCAGGACAACUAAAGCUGAUUUCAGCCAUGAACUUGGGAGGGAUGUUAGCCCCAUCUCUUUUUAGAAGAUACGAGGAGGACAGAUUAGAUGGAGCACUGAAUCCGACUGGUUGUAGAGGAGCCUGACCUCGAGAGGAGACUAGAUUUGAUUAUCAUGUUUAUAACCAUAGUCCUUCAUGCUCUAGAACGCAUGAAGCGAUUAAUUUUAUUUUGAAGAUUUUAAUAUCUAGUUGUAUUAAGUUAUGCUACGUUUUGGCUUUGAAUUUAUGAUGAUCAGUAAUGCAUUGAGAUAUUUUAAUUA